rnacentral:rRNA from 1 species
UUAAUCACUGACCUCAGCUCAGGUGAGGCGACCCGCUUGACUUAAGCAUAUUAGUCAGCGGAGGA